CCUACGGGAGGCAGCAGUGAGGAAUAUUGGUCAAUGGACGAGAGUCUGAACCAGCCAAGUAGCGUGAAGGAUGACUGCCCUAUGGGUUGUAAACUUCUUUUAUAAAGGAAUAAAACGAGGCACGUGUGCCUUUUUGCAUGUACUUUAUGAAUAAGGAUCGGCUAACUCCGUGCCAGCAGCCGCGGUAAUACGGAGGAUCCGAGCGUUAGCAGGAUUUAUUGGGUUUAAAGGGAGCGUAGAUGGGUUGUUAAGUCAGUUGUGAAAGUUUGCGGCUCAACCGGAAAAUUGCAAUUGAUACUGGCAGUCUUGAGUACAGGUGAGGUAGGCGGAAUGCGUGGUGUAGCGGUGAAAUGCUUAGAUAUCACGAAGAACCCCGAUUGCGAAGGCAGCUUGCUAAACUGUGACUGACAUUGAUGCUCGAAAGUGUGGGUAUCAAACAGGAUUAGAUACCCGGGUAGUC
rnacentral:rRNA from 1 species